UCUCGAUUGGUCUAGUGGUGAGGAUACCUGCUUGUCACUGUACAAUCCGCAGGUGGCCGGGGUUCGAUUCCCCGAUCGAGAG
rnacentral:tRNA from 1 species